rnacentral:rRNA from 1 species
AAUAUUAGACAAUGGGGGCAACCCUGACCCAGCCAUGCCGCGUGUGUGAAGAAGGUCAUCAGUUUGUACAGAACCUUAACUUGGGAGCCAGGGCUUUAGGUUUAUACUAUGAAGAUAUGACGUUAUAUACAGAAUAGGCCCCGGCUAACCUGUUGCCAGCAGCCGCGGUAAUACAGAGGGUGCAAGCGUUAAUAGGAAUCACUGUGCGUAAAGCGCGCGUAGGUGGUUCAGUAAGAUGGGUGUGAAAUCCCCGGGCUUAACCUGGGAAAUGCUUUUAUAACUGGUGAGCUAGAGUACGGUAGAGGGUAGUGGAAUUUCCUGUGUAGCGGUGAAAUGCGUAGAUAUAGGAAGGAACACCAGUGGCGAAGGCGACUACCUGGACUGAUACUGACACUGAGGUGCGAAAGCGUGGGGAGCAAACA